UACGUAGGGUGCGAGCGUUGUCCGGAAUUAUUGGGCGUAAAGAGCUCGUAGGCGGUGUGUCACGUCGUUCGUGAAAACCUGCAGCUUAACUGUGGGCGUGCGGUCGAUACGGGCAUCACUGGAGUUCGGCAGGGGAGACUGGAAUUCCUGGUGUAGCGGUGAAAUGCGCAGAUAUCAGGAGGAACACCAAUAGCGAAGGCAGCUCGCUGGGACGUAACUGACACUGAGGCGCGAAAGCGUGGGGAGCGAACAGG
rnacentral:rRNA from 1 species